rnacentral:rRNA from 1 species
UAGGGAAUCUUCGGCAAUGGACGAAAGUCUGACCGAGCAACGCCGCGUGAGUGAAGAAGGUUUUCGGAUCGUAAAACUCUGUUGUUAGAGAAGAACAAGGACGUUAGUAACUGAACGUCCCCUGACGGUAUCUAACCAGAAAGCCACGGCUAACUACGUGCCAGCAGCCGCGGUAAUACGUAGGUGGCAAGCGUUGUCCGGAUUUAUUGGGCGUAAAGCGAGCGCAGGCGGUUUCUUAAGUCUGAUGUGAAAGCCCCCGGUUCAACCGGGGAGGGUCAUUUGAAACUGGGAGACUUGAGUGCAGAAGAGGAGAGUGGAAUUCCAUGUGUAGCGGUGAAAUGCGUAGAUAUAUGGAGGAACACCAGUGGCGAAGGCGGCUCUCUGGUCUGUAACUGACGCUGAGGCUCGAAAGCGUGGGGAGCAAACAGG